rnacentral:rRNA from 1 species
GACGAACGCUGGCGGCGUGCUUAACACAUGCAAGUCGAGCGAUGAAUUUUCUUCGGAAAUGGAUUAGCGGCGAACGGGUGAGGAACACGUGAAGAAUCUGCCCUCCACUUUGGGAUAACACAGGGAAACCUGUGCUAAUACCGGAUAUUGAAACAUAAGUGGCAUCACUGAGUUUUGAAAGAAUUUCGGUGGAGGAUGACUUCGCGGCCUAUCAGCUAGUUGGUGAGGUAAUGGCUCACCAAGGCAACGACGGGUAGCCGGCCUGAGAGGGCGACAGGCCACACUGGGACUGAGACACGGCCCAGACUCCUACGGGAGGCAGCAGUGGGGAAUAUUGGGCAAUGGAGGAAACUCUGACCCAGCGACGCCGCGUGCGGGAUGAAGGCCUUCGGGUUGUAAACCGCUUUCAGUAGGGAAGAAGCGAAAGUGACGGUACCUACAAAAGAAGCACCGGCUAACUAUGUGCCAGCCGCCGCGGUAA